GAUGAACGCUGGCGGCGUGCCUAAUACAUGCAAGUCGAGCGAACAGACGAGGAGCUUGCUCCUCUGACGUUAGCGGCGGACGGGUGAGUAACACGUGGAUAACCUACCUAUAAGACUGGGAUAACUUAGGGAAACCGGAGCUAAUACCGGAUAAUAAAUUGAAACGCAUGGUUCAAUAGUGAAAGGCGGGUGUGCUGUCAGGUAUAGAUGGAUCCGCGCCGCAUUAGCUAGUUGGUAAGGGAACGGCUUACCAAGGCGACGAUGCGUAGCCGACCUGAGAGGGUGAUCGGCCACACUGGAACUGAGACACGGUCCAGACUCCUACGGGAGGCAGCAGUAGGGAAUCUUCCGCAAUGGGCGAAAGCCUGACGGAGCAACGCCGCGUGAGUGAUGAAGGUCUUCGGAUCGUAAAACUCUGUUAUUAGGGAAGACCAAAUGUGUAAGUAACUAUGCACGUCUUGACGGUACCUAAUCAGAAAGCCACGGCUAACUACGUG
rnacentral:rRNA from 1 species